ACUUAAAUUGAAGAGUUUGAUCAUGGCUCAGAUUGAACGCUGGCGGCAGGCCUAACACAUGCAAGUCGAGCGGCAGCGGGAAAGUAGCUUGCUACUUUUGCCGGCGAGCGGCGGACGGGUG
rnacentral:rRNA from 1 species